CGAGGUAGUGACGAGAAAUAACAAUACAGGGCAUUUAAUGCUUUGUAAUUGGAAUGAUGGGAAUGUAAAACCCUUCCAGAGUAACAAUUGGAGGGCAAGUCUGGUGCCAGCAGCCGCGGUAAUUCCAGCUCCAAUAGUGUAUAUUAGAGUUGUUGCAGUUAAAAAGCUCGUAGUUGGAUUUCUGUCGUGGUCAUCCGGCCGCGCCCGUAGGGUGUGCGCCUGUGUUGCCCGCGGCUUUUUUCCGGUAGCCUUCCGCGCUUCACUGCGUGUGUUGGUGUUCCGGAACUUUUACUUUGAGAAAAAUAGAGUGUUUCAAGCAGGCUUGUCGCCCUGAAUACUUCAGCAUGGAAUAAUAAGAUAGGACCUUGGUUCUAUUUUGUUGGUUUCUGGGACCGAGGUAAUGAUUAAUAGGGACAGUUGGGGGCAUUCGUAUUUAACUGUCAGAGGUGAAAUUCUUAGAUUUGUUAAAGACGAACUACUGCGAAAGCAUUUGCCAAGGAUGUUUUCAUUAAUCAAGAACGACAGUAGGGGGUUUGAAGACGAUUAGAUACCGUCGUAAUCUCUACCAUAAACUAUGCCGACUAGAGAUAGGGAAACG
rnacentral:rRNA from 1 species